rnacentral:rRNA from 1 species
UACGUAGGGGGCAAGCGUUGUCCGGAUUUAUUGGGCGUAAAGAGCGUGUAGGCGGCCGUACAGGUCAGCUGUGAAAACUCGAGGCUCAACCUCGAGACGUCGGUUGAAACCGUACGGCUAGAGUCCGGAAGAGGAGAGUGGAAUUCCUGGUGUAGCGGUGGAAUGCGCAGAUAUCAGGAGGAACACCGAUGGCGAAGGCAGAUCUCUGGGCCGUUACUGACGCUGAGGAGCGAAAGCGUGGGGAGCGAACAGG